GACGAACGCUGGCGGCGUGCUUAACACAUGCAAGUGGAGCGACGAACCGGGCUUCGGCCCGGGGCAAAGCCGCGAACGGGUGAGUAUCACGUGGGUAACCUGCCCCGAUGACCGGGAUAACCCGAGGAAACUCGGGCUAAUACCGGAUGUGCUCCCAAUCCACCAGGGUUGGGAACAAAGGAAGCUUCGGCCUCCGCAUUGGGAUGGGCCCGCGGCCCAUUAGCUUGUUGGUGAGGUAACGGCUCACCAAGGCGAGGAUGGGUAGCUGGUCUGAGAGGACGAUCAGCCACACUGGGACUGAGACACGGCCCAGACUCCUACGGGAGGCAGCAGUGGGGAAUCUUGCGCAAUGCGCGAAAGCGUGACGCAGCAACGCCGCGUGAGGGAAGAAGGCCUUCGGGUUGUAAACCUCUUUCAGGAGGGACGAAGGUUCAGGCGCGAACAGCGUCCUGGACUGACGGUACCCCCAGAAGAAGCCCCGGCUAACUACGUGCCAGCAGCCGCGGUAACAC
rnacentral:rRNA from 1 species